rnacentral:snoRNA from 13 species
GGAUCGAUGAUGAGUCCUACAAAAAAAAAAAAAAAAAAAAACAUUCCUUGGAAAAGCUGAACAAAAUGAGUGAAAACUCAUACCGUCGCUCUCAUCGGAACUGAGGUCC